AUUGAACGCUGGCGGCAGGCCUAACACAUGCAAGUCGAGCGGAGCGGCGGACGGGUGAGUAAUGCCUAGGAAUCUGCCUGGUAGUGGGGGAUAACGUCCGGAAACGGGCGCUAAUACCGCAUACUAUCAGAUGAGCCUAGGUCGGAUUAUCUAGUUGGUGGGGUAAAGGCCUACCAAGGCGACGAUCCGUAGCUGGUCUGAGAGGAUGAUCAGUCAAAAUGGAACUGAGACACGGUCCAGGCUACGACGGGAGGCAGCAGUGGGGAAUAUUGGACAAUGGGCGAAAGCCUGAUCCAGCCAUGCCGCGUGUGUGAAGAAGGUCUUCGGAUUGUAAAGCACUUUAAGUUGGGAGGCGUUACCAACAGAGUAAGCACCGGCUAACUUCGUGCCAGCAGCCGCGGUAAUAC
rnacentral:rRNA from 1 species